rnacentral:misc_RNA from 1 species
AAAACCCACGGGCGUGCCCGUGUCCGGGGUGGUCACGAUCGCCUCGCAUCUACCCUUGUUUUUUUCCAGCGCAAACUUUUCGUUUCCUCGGCAGCUCUGCCUGCCAUGGGGGACCUCCUAAAACUCUUGUAAUCUUCAGUAUAACCUUCUGAAAUAUACCAAUAUCA